rnacentral:rRNA from 1 species
AUGGCGCCCAAGGCGGAGAAGAAGCCGGCGGCCGAGAAGCCCCCCGCCGCGAAGAAGCCCAAGGCCGAGAAGCGGCUGCCCGCGGGCAAGACCGCCUCCAAGGAGGGCGGCGGCGAGAAGAGGGGCCGGAAGAAGGGCAAGAAGAGCGUCGAGACCUACAAGAUCUACAUCUUCAAGGUGCUCAAGCAGGUGCACCCCGACAUCGGCAUCUCCUCCAAGGCCAUGUCCAUCAUGAACUCCUUCAUCAACGACAUCUUCGAGAAGCUCGCCGGGGAGGCCGCCAAGCUCGCCCGCUACAACAAGAAGCCCACGAUCACCUCCCGCGAGAUCCAGACCUCCGUCCGCCUCGUCCUCCCCGGAGAGCUCGCCAAGCACGCCGUCUCUGAGGGCACCAAGGCCGUCACCAAGUUCACCUCCUCUUAG